AGAGUUUGAUCAUGGCUCAGGAUGAACGCUAGCUACAGGCUUAACACAUGCAAGUCGAGGGGCAGCAUGUUGGUUGCUUGCAACCAAUGAUGGCGACCGGCGCACGGGUGAGUAACGCGUAUCCAACCUACCCUUGUCCAUCGGAUAACCCGUCGAAAGGCGGCCUAACACGAUAUGCGGUUCUCAGCAGGCAUCUAACGAGAACGAAAUGUGAAGGAGAAGGAUGGGGAUGCGUCUGAUUAGCUUGUUGGCGGGGUAACGCCACCAAGGCGACGAUUAGUAGGGGUUCUGAGAGGAAGGUCCCCANAUUGGAACUGAGACACGGUCCAAACUCCUACGGGAGCA
rnacentral:rRNA from 1 species